GACGAACGCUGGCGGCGUGCUUAACACAUGCAAGUCGAACGGAAAGGCCAUGCUCUUGUGGGGUGCUCGAGUGGCGAACGGGUGAGUAACACGUGAGUAACAUGCCCUUGACUUUGGGAUAACUUCAGGAAACUGGGGCUAAUACCGGAUAGGAGCUCCUGCUCCAUGGUGGGGGUUGGAAAGUUUCGGCGUUUGGGGAUGGACUCGCGGCGUAUCAGCUUGUUGGUCGGGUAGUGGCUUACCCAGGGUUCGACGGGUAGCCGGCCUGAGAGGGUGGCCGGCCGCACUGGAAGUGAGACAGGGUCCAGAGUCAUACGGGAGGCAGCAGUAGGGAAUCGUCGGCAAUGGGCGAGAGCAUGACGGAGCAGGGCCGCGUCAGUGAUGAAGGUCUGCGGAUCGUGAAACGCUGCUUUUAGGGAAGAACCAGUUUGUAAGUAACUAUGCACGUCUUGAAGGUAAAUAAUCAGAAAGCCACGGCUAACUACGUG
rnacentral:rRNA from 1 species